rnacentral:lncRNA from 1 species
AAAGUGGGAAUGAUGAAGGGAACUUAACGGUAACGUAGAUAUCAGUACAAUCUAAUCCGUUAGCAAUAAUAAUUCGUUAGAUUUAAACCACUGGCCAAAUAUACUUAAGCCAAGCUGUUAUUAGUAGGGUAGAGUCCUCAUAUAUACCCAAUAACAAUUCCAUUUCCAUCUGAUAUGAGACUGUGUCGCAUACUCUCCUGUUUAGGCCCUGAUAAUAAUCCAUUCCCAUUCGAUAUGGGACUAAUGAGGUGUUACAUACUCCUCCCGUUUAGGCCCUAAUUUUUUCAUCAGUUCUAAAUACACACACAAUCCAAAAUCAGCAGGCGAUGUGAGGCUAAUCUUGUUAGCCUUGUCAUUCCGACCCUAACGG